UACAGAGGAGGCAAGCGUUGUUCGGAAUCACUGGGCUUAAAGCGCGUGUAGGCGGCUCCGAAAGUGUCGUGUGAAAUCCCAGAGCUCAACUCUGGAACUGCGCGGCAAACUCCGGAGCUUGAGGCUGGUAGAGGUGCCUGGAACUCUCGGUGGAGCGGUGAAAUGCGUAGAUAUCGAGAGGAACGCCGGAGGCGAAAGCGGGGCACUGGGCCCGUUCUGACGCUGAGAAGCGAAAGCGUGGGGAGCAAACAGG
rnacentral:rRNA from 1 species